rnacentral:sRNA from 2 species
AUAUGUUACAGCGUAUUCCCGAAAGGAUUCAUUAAUGUGAAGCUGCCUUGUAACCAAAAAUAUUGUAAUGGGGGAAUUAUUGUG